CGCCGCGACGUGCCGCCGUUCGCUGCCCGCGACGUCGCGAGAAGUCCAUUGAACCUUAUCAUUUAGAGGAAGGAGAAGUCGUAACAAGGUUUCCGUAGGUGAACCUGCGGAAGGAUCAUUG
rnacentral:rRNA from 1 species